ACUGCCUCUUGGUCUGCCCCGGAGCUAACCGUCGGUUCUGUCCCUGGGCUCCCAGGCCGGCCCCUGGGGCGUCCUCCUCCGGCCCGGCCGGCUCGGGAAACCCACGCCCGCGGGAAGAGGUAAAAAGCAAAAACCAGGAUUUGUGGAGCUUCUAAUCCCUUUCAAGUUGAAACGUGAUGAGUAUGGUGUAGUAUACGGCGGUGUUUGGACGAGGCUGACAGUGUAAGCACUUGCCGUAACUGCUUGUCGUCGGUAUGGAGCCUUAAAGCCCGAAUGGAACAGCAGCAGCCGCUAUCAGUCACACAGACAGUGGGGGAGGUCCAGACAAACCGUUGUGGCUUCUCAGGGCCCCUUUUUUGCUGAAUAGAGAUGUUGGCUGAGAUUGCCUUCUUCCUGCUGCCUCUUGGAAGGAUUGCCAUGAGAAAUCUGUGGUGACCCAAGGACAAAAGAGCAGAUAAAACCAAGGAGGGUGUUGGAACCUCAGGAAAAACCAGACCCUUAUCGCCUUUCCCUCCCCCGUGUGUAACUACUAAGGAAACAGUAUCACCUGCCUCCCCUCCUACCCCACAGGGAGGAGGUAUCUGCCCUACUCUCCCCCCACCCAGUAUACCGGCCUCAUCGAGUCAGCAAAUGACCUGCAAGACCCCGUCCCACUCCUUGUACACUGGCUAUAAAAGUGGACCAAGGACCCCUUUCAACGUCGGUUCUCCCUUGAGCUGGCCCGCUGUUCUAACAGCGUCUCCCACUCUAAUAAAC
ensembl:lncRNA